rnacentral:rRNA from 1 species
GCCCGCGACCAUACCACAUUAGAAACACCAGUUCUCAUCUGAUCACCGAAGUUAAGCAACGAAAACCCGAUUAGCACCUGCAUGGAUGACAGGAUGGGAAUACCGGGUGUUGCGGUCG